UGGGAUUUAGCUCAAUGGUAGAGCGCUUGCCUAGCAAGCGCAAGGCCCUGGGUUCGGUCCCCAGCUCCCAA
rnacentral:tRNA from 1 species